ACACCAAGUCUUCUGCAGAGAGUGGGGCUCAGGCCUUUCCUCUUGAAGGCCUGCUGCAGACCAAGGGGUCCUUGGACUGUGGGCUCCCCAACCGCCAGCAUUUCCUGGUGCCGCCUGACUGGCUGCUCCACACGCGGAGGGGGAGGGACGUUAAGUGAGCUUCUGCACUCCACAGACAACCGGGACCAGGGCUUCUCCCUGACAUGGUCAGGAACUAAACUUGGGACCAGGGAACAGGCCCAUAGGCCGGAUCCUAUACCCCUAGAACUCGAUCGUGUCACUAAGAAACACAGAAGAGAGAUUUAUGAACUAAUCUUAGGAGGCGAGGGAGCCCAUGCAGGCAGAACUUAAAGGAGAGUUUGGGCACAGAGGCCUAAGUGGUGCAGUGGAAGAGACCACAUCUGUAAAAGGAACCAGGGAGGACUCCAGCUUUGAUGGGCAGCCCUGGUGGCGUUGGCAGCACUGGCAGGAGACAUCUGCCCAAAUCUGGAAGUCCAGACACCUUUGAUGGCAGCAGCAAGCACAUCACUGCUGGAGGAAGGGGAAGAAAACCCAGGCACACUCUCAGAACUAGUUUGGAAAAAUCUGGGGGAGCUGGAGCUCUCACAAAACAGGGUCUGCAUUCCUACUGCUUCCAGGGCUUAAUUUGAUAUUGAGGCAAUUUAAGAAGUGAUUCCUUAAAAAAAGGAGGAAAGCAGGAA